rnacentral:rRNA from 1 species
GAAUAUUGGACAAUGGGCGCAAGCCUGAUCCAGCCAUACCGCGUGGGUGAAGAAGGCCUUCGGGUUGUAAAGCCCUUUUGUUGGGAAAGAAAAGCAGUCGGCUAAUACCCGGUUGUUCUGACGGUACCCAAAGAAUAAGCACCGGCCAACUUCGUGCCCGCAGCCGCGGUAAUGCGAAGGGUGCAAGCGUUACUCGGAAUUACUGGGCGUAAAGCGUGCGUAGGUGGUUGUUUAAGUCUGUUGUGAAAGCCCUGGGCUCAACCUGGGAAUUGCAGUGGAUACUGGGCGACUAGAGUGUGGUAGAGGGUAGUGGAAUUCCCGGUGUAGCAGUGAAAUGCGUAGAGAUCGGGAGGAACAUCCAUGGCGAAGGCAGCUACCUGGACCAACACUGACACUGAGGCACGAAAGCGUGGGGAGCAAACAGGA